CUAUCUCAGUGCCAGUCCUUUCUUCAGAAAAAAAGUAUCCUACAUAGCAUAGUUUCAACAUUUUGUUAUAACCUAAAACGAUUAUUUAACACACUACUUCAGAGAAUGAAUCCAGCAUUACUUUCUAACACAUGUAAUAUUCAUUUGAAUAUUUGCGGAAAGCCAAUAAUAAAAUACGCAUUUUUCACACAAGCGGGCAGAGCCCAUGGAAAGGGACAUUUCGGGUUAAAGAGUCAGGGAGGGCACCUGAGGCGUUCCCCUGAGGGCGGUGAGGUGAAUUGCGUUGCCUUGGCCGUGCCGCUCGGUAGGGGGCGCACUCCCCGCCCCUCCCUCCCCGGGGCUCCCUUAUCACCCCCAGCGGGCGAUGUUGCCGCGCCACCGCCUCCACCUCCUGCUCUUCCUCCGCACCCUGCACGGCUCUGCCUUUGGCAUGGGCGACUGGGCCUCCCGCCUGCCGCAGGCGAGCGAAGCGCUGCCCGGCAGGAGCCAGCGCAUGGCGGUGCCAGAGUUCAUUUACUGCUGGUGAGGUCCAGUCCAGAACCUUCUAUCAGAGACACUGGAAUGGUUUUCCCAGAGAAGCUGUGGCUGCCCCUGGAUCCUUGGAAUUGUCCAAGGCCAGGCUGGACAGGGCUUGGAGCACCCUGGGAUAGUGGAAGGGAUGGAACUGGAUGAGCUUUGAGGUCUCUUCCAACCCAAACCAUUCCAUUAUUCUGUGACUGGAUAAAUGUCAUAGUUUAAAUUUACAGAUCUUCUUUUCCUGCUGUUUAGUUGAUCUGGAUUUAUUUUUUGAGGAAAUAAACAAAGCAGUCCCUUGUCUUUGUGUGAGCA
rnacentral:lncRNA from 1 species